rnacentral:rRNA from 2 species
GGAUCCAGACUUUGAUCCUGGCUCAGGAUGAACGCUAGCUACAGGCUUAACACAUGCAAGUCGAGGGGCAGCGAUGAAGAAAGCUUGCUUUCUUCAGGCGGCGACCGGCGCACGGGUGAGUAACGCGUAUCGAACCUGCCUCAUACUCAGGAAUAGCCUUGCGAAAGUAAGAUUAAUGCCCGAUGUUAUUAGGAUAUCACAUGAUGUUUUAAUUAAAGAUUUAUCGGUAUGAGAUGGCGAUGCGUCCCAUUAGCUUGUUGGCGGGGUAACGGCCCACCAAGGCAUCGAUGGGUAGGGGUUCUGAGAGGAAGGUCCCCCACAUUGGAACUGAGACACGGUCCAAACUCCUACGGGAGGCAGCAGUGAGGAAUAUUGGUCAAUGGACGCAAGUCUGAACCAGCCAAGUAGCGUGCAGGAAGACGGCCCUCUGGGUUGUAAACUGCUUUUAGUUGGGAAUAAAGUGCACCACGUGUGGUGUUUUGUAUGUACCAUCAGAAAAAGGACCGGCUAAUUCCGUGCCAGCAGCCGCGGUAAUACGGAAGGUCCAGGCGUUAUCCGGAUUUAUUGGGUUUAAAGGGAGCGCAGGCGGACCUUUAAGUCAGCUGUGAAAUACGGCGGCUCAACCGUCGAACUGCAGUUGAUACCGGAGGUCUUGAGUGCACACAGGGAUACUGGAAUUCAUGGUGUAGCGGUGAAAUGCUCAGAUAUCAUGAAGAACUCCGAUCGCGAAGGCAGGUAUCCGGGGUGCAACUGACGCUGAGGCUCGAAAGUGCGGGUAUCAAACAGGAUUAGAUACCCUGGUAGUCCGCACAGUAAACGAUGAAUACUCGCGAUUUGCGAUACACAGUAAGUCGCCAAGCGAAAGCGUUAAGUAUUCCACCUGGGGAGUACGCCGGCAACGGUGCAACUCAAAGGAAUUGACGG